rnacentral:rRNA from 1 species
GAGGAAUAUUGCGCAAUGGACGAAAGUCUGACGCAGCCACGCCGCGUGCAGGAAGACACCCCUCAGGGGCGUAAACUGCUUUUAUACGGGAAGAACACCUCCUUCUGGGAGGUCUGACGGUACCGUACGAAUAAGGACCGGCUAACUCCGUGCCAGCAGCCGCGGUAAUACGGAGGGUCCAAGCGUUGUCCGGAAUCACUGGGUGUAAAGGGUGCGCAGGCGGGCGUGUAAGUCAGGGGUGAAAGCCACCGGCCUAACCGGUGAACUGCCCUUGAUACUGCACGUCUUGAGUCCCGGAGAGGCUAUCGGAAUUCGUGGUGUAGCGGUGAAAUGCGUAAAUAUCACGAGGA